rnacentral:rRNA from 1 species
UACGUAGGGUGCAAGCGUUAAUCGGAAUUACUGGGCGUAAAGCGUGCGCAGGCGGUUUGUAAGUCUGUCGUGAAAGCCCCGGGCUUAACCUGGGAAUUGCGAUGGAGACUGCAAGGCUGAGAAUCGUGGCAGAGGGGGUAGAAUUCACGUGAUAGCAGUGAAAUGCGUGAGAGAGUGUGGAGGAACACCGAUGGCGAAGGCACCCCUGGC